rnacentral:rRNA from 1 species
AACGAACGCUGGCGGCAUGCCUAACACAUGCAAGUCGAACGAGACCUUCGGGUCUAGUGGCGCACGGGUGCGUAACGCGUGGGAACCUGCCCUUAGGUUCGGAAUAACUCCCCGAAAGGGGUGCUAAUACCGGAUAAUGUCUUCGGACCAAAGAUUUAUCGCCUUUGGAUGGGCCCGCGUUGGAUUAGCUAGUUGGUAGGGUAAAAGCCUACCAAGGCGACGAUCCAUAGCUGGUCGGAUAGGAUGCUCAUCCACACUGGGACUGAGGCACGGCCCAGACUCCUACGCGAGGCAGGAGUGGGGAAUAUUGGACGAUGGGCGAAAGCCUGAUCCAGCCAUGCCGCGUGAGUGAUGAAGGCCUUAGGGUUGUAAAGCUCUUUUACCCGGGAUGAUAAUGACAGUACCGGGAGAAUAAGCUCCGGCUAACUCCGUG